GCGACCUCGGGUGUGGCGGACGGGUGAGUAACGCGUGAGAAUCUACCUUUAGGUUCGGGACAACAGUUGGAAACGACUGCUAAUACCGAAUGUGUCGCAAGAUGAAAGAUUAAUUGCCUAGAGAUGAGCUCGCGUCUGAUUAGCUAGUUGGUGGGGUAAAAGCGUACCAGGGCGACGAUCAGUAGCUGGUCUGAGAGGGUGAUCAGCCACACUGGGACUGAGACACGGCCCAGACUCCUACGGGAGGCAGCAGUGGGGAAUUUUCCGCAAUGGGCGAAAGCCUGACGGAGCAACGCCGCGUGAGGGAGGAAGGCUCUUGGGUUGUAAACCUCUUUUCUCAAGGAAGAUAAUGACGGUACUUGAGGAAUCAGCAUCGGCUAACUCCGUGCCAGCAGCCGCGGUAAUACGGAGGAUGCAAGCGUUAUCCGGAAUAAUUGGGCGUAAAGCGUUCGUAGGUGGUUCUGUAAGUCUGCUGUUAAAGCGUGUAGCUCAACUACAUAUAGGCAGUGGAAACUACAAAACUAGAGUGCGUUCGGGGCAGAGGGAAUUCCUGGUGUAGCGGUGAAAUGCGUAGAUAUCAGGAAGAACACCGGUGGCGAAGGCGCUCUGCUAGGCCGCAACUGACACUGAGGGACGAAAGCUAGGGGAG
rnacentral:rRNA from 1 species